CAAAUAUUCCCUCCGUCCGGAAAUACUUGUCAUCAAAAUGGAUAAAAGGAAAUGUAUCUAGACGUAUUUUAGUUUUAGAUACAUAUCUUUUUAUCCAUUUUGAUGACAAGUAUUUUUGGAUGGAGGGAGUAGAAA
rnacentral:pre_miRNA from 1 species